GGUCAAGAGCGCCAGCGCCAAGCCCCGGCUCGCUGGCCGGCAACCCUCCCCUCGCGGCGGGGUGCCCCGGGUGACGACCUGGCCCGCGCCGACCGGCGUCGGGCAAGCGCGGGGA
rnacentral:ncRNA from 2 species